rnacentral:rRNA from 1 species
CCUUUGACGUUAGCGUCGGACGGGUGAGUAACACGUGGGUAACCUACCUAUAAGACUGGGAUAACUUCGGGAAACCGGAGCUAAUACCGGAUAAUAUUUCGAACCGCAUGGUUCGAUAGUGAAAGAUGGUUUUGCUAUCACUUAUAGAUGGACCCGCGCCGUAUUAGCUAGUUGGUAAGGUAACGGCUUACCAAGGCGACGAUACGUAGCCGACCUGAGAGGGUGAUCGGCCACACUGGAACUGAGACACGGUCCAGACUCCUACGGGAGGCAGCAGCG